rnacentral:misc_RNA from 1 species
GGUAGUAAAAGUCGUAACAAGGUAUCCGUAGGUGAACCUGCGGAAGGAUCAUUAUUGUAUAACCGAGGUGCGAGGGCUGUCGCUGACCGAAAGGUCGUGCACGCCCGAGUGCCCUCACACACAUCCAUCUCACCCCUAUGUGCACCACCGCGUGGGUCCCCCUUUGGCUUGUUCGGAGGGGGGCUUACGUUUUCACACAAACUUUGUAUGCAGUGUAGAAUGUAUUUUUUGUUUUUGCGAUCACGCAAUCAAUACAACUUUCAACAACGGAUCUCUUGGCUCUC